UUAGCGACGGCAGUGCAACAUCCCGUACUGUGAGCAUGUUCGUGUUGGUUUCAUGAUGGUCUGGAGACUCAAGCGUGCUUGCACCUCCGUGUAUGCGUGUUCGGCCAGCACCUGGUUAGGCACAGUCGGAAAUGCGAACGAUGGUGCUCAAGAUGGCACAUGCAACGCUAUGCAGCUGUGGACACCAGCAGCUUGAUAAGAACUCUCGAAGCUCAUCUGGAUGCUUCACAGAACCUGGGAAGACUGAACACUUUUGGCAAAGCAGCAACAGUUCUGGCCUACCUGUUUGUCUACAAGACGGUCUCUUCCGUGAACACUCCUGUGCCUUACAGUAUACUAUACUGAUGAUCUUGUACAUCUCUCAGUAUUUAGGAUUGUCAGCACUUGGACUGCUGC